rnacentral:piRNA from 1 species
UGCACACACGAGGUACGGCAU